rnacentral:miRNA from 1 species
GCGAAAUUCCCAAAGGAGGGCGAUAUUCCUAGGAGAUUCGCCCCCCCGGGGCGAAUCUCCUAGGAAUAUCGCCCCCCUUUUGAGAGGGG